GAUGAACGCUGGCGGCGUGCCUAAUACAUGCAAGUCGAGCGAACAGACGAGGAGCUUGCUCCUCUGACGUUAGCGGCGGACGGGUGAGUAACACGUGGAUAACCUACCUAUAAGACUGGGAUAACUUCGGGAAACCGGAGCUAAUACCGGAUAAUAUAUUGAACCGCAUGGUUCAAUAGUGAAAGGCGGUUUUGCUGUCACUUAUAGAUGGAUCCGCGCCGCAUUAGCUAGUUGGUAAGGUAACGGCUUACCAAGGCAACGAUGCGUAGCCGACCUGAGAGGGUGAUCGGCCACACUGGAACUGAGACACGGUCCAGACUCCUACGGGAGGCAGCAGCAGGGAAUCUUCCGCAAUGGGCGAAAGCCUGACGGAGCAACGCCGCGUGAGUGAUGAAGGUCUUCGGAUCGUAAAACUCUGUUAUUAGGGAAGAACAAAUGUGUAAGUAACUAUGCACGUCUUGACGGUACCUAAUCAGAAAGCCACGGCUAACUACGUG
rnacentral:rRNA from 1 species